rnacentral:rRNA from 1 species
CUCGUAGGCGGCCAACUAAGUCAGACGUGAAAUCCCUCGGCUUAACCGGGGAACUGCGUCUGAUACUGGAUGGCUUGAAUCCGGGAGAGGGAUGUGGAAUUCCAGGUGUAGCGGUGAAAUGCGUAGAUAUCUGGAGGAACACCGGUGGCGAAGGCGGCAUCCUGGACCGGUAUUGACGCUGAGUGAGCGAAAGCCAGGGAGGCAAACG